rnacentral:rRNA from 1 species
CCCCCAGCGCCACAAGUGGUUAUCACGAUUAUUGGGCCUAAAGCGUUCGUAGCCGGUUUGGUGCAUCUCUUGUGAAAUUGUUCGGCUUAACCGGACAGCGUGCAGGAGACACGGCCAAACUCGAGACCGGGAGGGGUUAGAAGUAUUCCAUGGGGACUGGUAAAAUGGGAUAAUCCAUGGAAGACUACCGAUGGCGAAGGCAUCUAACCAGAACGGAUCUGACGGUGAGGAACGAAAGCCAGGGGAGCGAACCGG